AAAGCAAGACCACAGAAGAGCUGGAUGUGGAUAGAACAUCUAGACCAGGAAGAACUCAGCCUGGAGGAGUAUGGGAGAAACACAGCAACGGAAAACCUGGAACAUGCAGAGUACUCUUCUAAAGUGGGCUCCGGCAGAAGAAGGUGCUUUCUGGAUGAAAGAGGAGAAGCUGGAAGAUGCCCGGCAAGAGGCCUCGGUCCUUCCUGGAAGACCAUGAAGUCCAGUGCAGCUAUCGGUACUCAACACCAGAAGCCCAGAGAGGAAAGAAACACCAAUGCCACACAGUAACUAACUGGAAAGCUUACUAGACUUGUGGGUAGACACAAAUGCAUAUGAGACAUUCUGGGGGGUUCUCAGAUGGAUUGGUGUAGAGGUAUUCUAAAAGGAGUUGGAGGAGAGAAAAGAAAUAGAUGAAAGGAAACAGUAAAAUCUGGGUUAUUAGUUGAAGCCCCAGACCCUUAUGUGAGGACUGAUGCUACUCUAAAUGCAUACAGUAUGUAGAUAGCUUUCUGUCUUCUUUAUGUUUACUAAAUUUUUGAAAAGUAAUUGUUUUUUAAUCAUUUCUCUAUCUUUAUAUAAACUUUUUCAAAUUGUCAUGUAUUUUCUUAUUGUAUUAUUUUAUUUACAAAUAAAAUUAUACAAUACAAAGA
rnacentral:lncRNA from 10 species